rnacentral:rRNA from 1 species
CCUACGGGUGGCAGCAGUAGGGAAUCUUUCACAAUGGGCGAAAGCCUGAUGGAGCAACGCCGCGUGCAGGAUGAAGGCCUUCGGGUUGUAAACUGCUUUUAUAAGCGAGAAAUAUGAUGGUAACUUAUGAAUAAGGAUCGGCUAACUCCGUGCCAGCAGCCGCGGUCAUACGUAGGCACAGGUCUGAACCGGGGUGACUUGGUGGUAAGAGUUGCGUAUGUGGCAUAAUAAGUAGCUAGUGAAAGCUGGUGGCUCAACCAUUCCGACUAUUAGCCAAACUGUUAAGCUAGAGACCGGUAGGGGUAACUGGAAUUUCUAGUGUAGGAGUGAAAUCCGUAGAUAUUAGAAGGAACACCAAUAGCGUAGGCAGGUUGCUGGGACGGUUCUGACACUAAGGCACGAAAGCGUAGGGAGCAAACGGGAUUAGAUACCCGAGUAGUC